AAUGGGCGAAAGCCUGACGCAGCGACGCCGCGUGAGCGAUGAAGGCCUUCGGGUUGUAAAGCUCUGUGGGGAGAGAAGAAUAAGGGUUGGCUAACAUCCAACCUGAUGACGGUAUCUCCUUAGCAAGCACCGGCUAACUCUGUGCCAGCAGCCGCGGUAAGACAGAGGGUGCAAACGUUGUUCGGAAUCACUGGGCGUAAAGCGCGUGUAGGCGGCUUGGCAAGUCGGAUGUGAAAUCCCACGGCUCAACCAUGGAAGUGCAUUCGAAACUGCCAGACUAGAGUCCUGGAGAGGAAGGCGGAAUACUCGGUGUAGAGGUGAAAUUCGUAGAUAUCGAGUGGAACACCGGUGGCGAAGGCGGCCUUCUGGACAGUGACUGACGCUGAAACGCGAAAGCGUGGGGAGCAAA
rnacentral:rRNA from 1 species